GAACGAACGCUGGCGGCAGGCCUAACACAUGCAAGUCGAACGCGAAAGCUCUUCGGAGUGAGUAGAGUGGCGCACGGGUGAGUAACGCGUGGGAACGUACCCUAUAGUACGGAAUAGCCCCGGGAAACUGGGAUUAAUACCGUAUACGCCCUGAGGGGGAAAGAUUUAUCGCUAUAGGAUCGGCCCGCGUGACAUUAGCUAGUUGGUGGGGUAAUGGCCUACCAAGGCGACGAUGUCUAGCUGGUUUGAGAGGAUGAUCAGCCACACUGGAACUGAGACACGGUCCAGACUCCUACGGGAGGCAGCAGUGAGGAAUAUUGGACAAUGGGCGAAAGCCUGAUCCAGCCAUGCCGCGUGAGUGAUGAAGGCCCUAGGGUUGUAAAGCUCUUUCAUUGGUGAAGAUAAUGACGGUAACCAAAGAAGAAGCCCCGGCUAACUUCGUGCCAGCAGCCGCGGUAAUACGAAGGGGGCUAGCGUUGUUCGGAAUCACUGGGCGUAAAGCGCGCGUAGGCGGAACUGUAAGUCAGAGGUGAAAGCCCGGGGCCCAACCCCGGAAUUGCCUUUGAAACUACAGUUCUAGAGUCUCGGAGGGGGUAGCGGAAUUCCUAAUGUAGGGGUGAAAUCCGUAGAUAUUAGGAGGAACACCGGUGGCGAAGGCGACUACCUGGACGAGAACUGACGCUGAGGUGCGAAAGCGUGGGUAGCAAACAGGAUUGGAUACCCUGGUAGUCCACGCCGUAAACGAUGAGUGCUAGUUGUUGGUCCCUUAGGGAGCAGUGACGCAGCUAACGCAU
rnacentral:rRNA from 1 species